rnacentral:rRNA from 1 species
GGAUGAACGCUGGCGGCGUGCCUAAUACAUGCAAGUCGAGCGAACGGACGAGAAGCUUGCUUUUCUGAUGUUAGCGGCGGACGGGUGAGUAACACGUGGAUAACCUACCUAUAAGACUGGGAUAACUUCGGGAAACCGGAGCUAAUACCGGAUAAUAUUUUGAACCGCAUGGUUCAAAAGUGAAAGACGGUCUUGCUGUCACUUAUAGAUGGAUCCGCGCUGCAUUAGCUAGUUGGUAAGGUAACGGCUUACCAAGGCAACGAUGCAUAGCCGACCUGAGGGGGUUGUGCGCCCCCCUGGACCUGACACCCGUCCCACCCCCCCAGGGGGGGCAGCAGUGGGAAAUUUUCCGCACGGGGGGAAAGCCUGACGGAGCCCCGCCGCGGGAGUGAUAAAGGUCUUCGGUUCGUAAAACUUUUUUUUUGGGAAAAAACAUUUGUUAAAGUACCUUGGCCAAUUUUGGCGGUACUUAAUCAGAAAGCCCCGGCUAACUCCGU